rnacentral:tRNA from 1 species
GAGGUAUUAGUAAAAUAGACAUUACGUCACUUUGUCAAAGUGGAAUUAUGGGAUAAAUCCCCAUAUACCUCU